rnacentral:rRNA from 1 species
UACAGAGGGGGCAAGCGUUGUUCGGAAUUACUGGGCGUAAAGGGCGCGUAGGCGGCCAUCUAAGUCAGACGUGAAAUCCCCCGGCUUAACCUGGGAACUGCGUCUGAUACUGGAAGGCUUGAGUAUGGGAGAGGGAUGUAGAAUUCCAGGUGUAGCGGUGAAAUGCGUAGAUAUCUGGAGGAGUACCGGUGGCGAAGGCGGCUAUCUGGACCAUUACUGACGCUGAGAUGCGAAAGCGUGGGGAGCAAACGGG